GAUGAACGCUGGCGGCGUGCUUAACACAUGCAAGUCGAACGAGAAGUGAAGACGGAAACCUUCGGGCGGAAGGCUUUAUUUCGAGUGGCGGACGGGUGAGUAACGCGUGGGUAACCUGCCUCAUACAGGGGGAUAACAGUUGGAAACGACUGUUAAUACCGCAUAAGACCACAGCACCGCAUGGUGCGGGGGUAAAAACUCCGGUGGUAUGAGAUGGACCCGCGUUCGAUUAGCCAGUUGGCGGGGUAACGGCCCACCAAAGCGACGAUCGAUAGCCGAUCUGAGAGGAUGACCGGCCACAUUGGGACUGAGACACGGCCCAAACUCCUACGGGAGGCAGCAGUGGGGAAUAUUGCACAAUGGGGGAAACACUGAUGCAGCGACGCCGCGUGAGUGAAGAAGUAUUUCGGUAUGUAAAGCUCUAUCAGCAGGGAAGAAAAUGACGGUACCUGAGUAAGAAGCCCCGGCUAACUACGUG
rnacentral:rRNA from 1 species